GUCCAUUCAGCAUCAGCCACAGUGUGCGGAGGGAAGGUCUUUGUGUUCGGAGGUGUGAACGAGGCCGGGCGCUCGGCGAGGGUCCUACAUACCACAGAGCAACACAUGGAGCUUCAUUGAAUCACUUAGAGAGAUAACAGAUACGCCCCUGCAGUGAGUCUGAAUGGGUUAAUAUUCAUCCUGGGAGGAGCCUACGCUUGAGCCACCACCAUCUAUGAUCCAGACAAAGGAAACAUCAAGGCCAGACCCAACAUGAACCACUCUCGGCAAUUCUGCAGUGAUCUUAGAAGGGAAGAUCUACGCCACAGGAGGCAUCGUGAGCAGCGAAGUCCCGCACUCAGCAACUUGGAGACCUUCGACCCCUCACACGCAUGUGGACGCACCUGCAGCCCCUACCCUGCCCGCUGUUCAGACACGGCUGUGCGGUCAUCAAGAAGUACAUCCAGAGCAGCUGAGGUCGACUUGGACCCGAUUAGUCUGGGAUCGAUGCCCAACACCAACUGACCUCUGGUUGAAGGACGAUGUGUGACAGCAGUUUAGGGCUGGUGUUGGUCGAUCUUCAGUCCAACCCACCUCUUCUCCCAAACUACAGAAAAGCCCUGUGCAGAAUGUACUCAUACUCAAUUACUCAGCCAUGUCAGGUGACGAUGCCUAACCUUCAGUAUUGUGUGUGCCAUGGUCGUUUUUCAUCCUCCAUCCAACAGGCACAGGGACCCUCUUGGUAAACUCCUUUUUUUUUAAUGAAGUCAUCAUUGUUUCAGUUAUUUUUUUGUAAACUCAUCCCCUCCAUAUUUCUAUACUUUGAUGAAGCUCAGUAAAAGCCAAUGCAGGGUGACAUUUCUGUAAUAAUGUUUGACAGGGGAAGGUUUUAAAGUCUCAUCAAACAGAGCAAAGAUUCUUUUGGUGUAAGAAGUGUUUUCAGUAGUCGAAUUAAGUGAAGGAAUUGACUGUUUUUCUCUUGUCAGUGAAGAUAAAAGUCUCUUUGGGGAGUUAUAUUCACACUGUGAGUGUGGAUUUUAAGAGGUAAUUUUUAUAAAACACAUGUAUGUGUUUACAUAUGUUUACACAUUUAUGUAAACUAGUUCUUUUGAACUUGGUUGACUUGCUUAACACAGGAGAGGCCAUGAAAUGUUGGACAGGUGAGAUCUUUAUUCUUUGUUUAAUUCCAGCCUGAUGGUGACAUCAUCUGGUGAUCUGUUUUUGCUUCAUUUCAUUCAUACUCUGUUUCUCUUAGGGACAACUAUACAAUUAUACUGAGAGAGAAAUAAAUUCAUCAAGUUCAACCCUGCUACAUGUGCUCCAGAGGGAAAGAAAAGCACAAUAACCACAUGCGUCUGUUGGCAUACAAGUUAUCUGUUGAACCAUGUUUUAUUUAUUUCAUUGGUUUUCCUGAACCAUUCUUUGUACGAAGUGUUUGAUUUAUACUCACGAAAGAAGAUUGGUUUGUAUUCUGUAAAUACAGAAAGGAAUGUAUAUUUUUUCAAACCUGAAGCUCUGUGUAAAUGUUUCUAGAAAAAAAGUUGAUUUUGAAAUGUUAUGACUGUAACUCUGUA